rnacentral:rRNA from 1 species
AUGGCUACCUGCUUGUCAGACAUUAUAAAAGAUCAUUCCUUGGAUUUUAUUUUCCUUCAAGAAACGAUGAAAAAAAUCCCCCUUAAGUUUCUUAGAAAAAUAGACCGACUGGGCAGAUUUGACUUGAAUUGGGUGCCUUCUAUUGGUAAGGCAGGUGGUAUCCUCUGUGGAGUCAAAAAGGAAACCCUUGAAGUUGUUUUCUGGAUGGUUGGCAAGUUUAUCUUGCAUGCCAGUAUAUAUGAUAUUAAACUCAGUUUUAUGUGGACACUCAUAACAGUCUAUGGGGCAGCACAUGAUGAUAAAAAAGAUAAAUUCCUCACUGAAUUUGCUUCUGUGUGUUCACACCUUCAAGUCCCCUAUGUGGUUGGUGGUGAUUUCAAUAUCCUGCCAGAGAAUUGUGACAAAAACAAAACAAUGAGUCGAUCCCCUUAUGUUGAUAAAUUCAACUCUAUCAUUCACUCCUUGAGCCUUUGGGAAAUAGGGGUGGGGGGGGGCAAAUAUACAUGGACCAACAACCAAAAAUACCGAACUUUGGAAAAGCUUGAUAGAGUCCUUAUGAGUUUUGAGUGGGAGGAUCUAUUUCCUUUAGUUACAGUCCGUAAACUGGUCAGAGAUGUAUCUGACCACAACCCACUCCUUUUAUCCUCGGGCCCAAAGAAAUCAGAUACCUUUCAUCAGUGUGAGUUUAGAUUUGAACUCAGCUGGCUAAAGGAUGAGAAAUUUACUCCAUUGCUAAAUGGAUUUGGGCACAUCCAGUUUUUGCAAAAGACUCCAUCACUAGUAGAAAAACACCUAAUAGUCCCGGUUCGUAAGGGCCUUUAG